AUCUAUGGCCAUGCCGCCCUGAACAAGUCCGAUCCCGUCUGAUCUCAGAAGCUAAGCAGGGUCAGGCCUGUUUAGUACUUGAAUGGGAGACCAACUAGGAAGGCUGGGUGCUGUAGGCA
rnacentral:rRNA from 1 species